rnacentral:misc_RNA from 1 species
GAAAACAAUCUUUAAAUAUCAUCAAUGCAGUAGGUAAGUAACUGCAUAUGAUAUCGGAUGCGUCUCUCCAUCCAUUGUUUUGCAUUAUUAAAAAACUGAACAACAAGAAAUUUAUUCAGCAGCAUCUAGAUCCCGACAAGGAGGAGCCUUAGGCUCACCUAAUAAUGUAGUAUUUCCUCCUUCUGGUCCACAAUUGAUACGACCUGGAUUCUGAGUGCCGCGCGGUGGUUUUUCACCUUUCCUGAAUGCCUCAACAAUCUCUACAGCUUUCUUUGGAGUGAGAUCCUCAUAAUAAUUGUAAGCAUAUCCUUCAGAUCCAUUGGAAUAGUCAGCCACCGUCAUCAUUGGAGCAUUUACACAGCAACCCAUGCAUUCCAUCUCACCAACAGAAAAUAAGCCAUCCUUAGUUACUUCAUUGCGCUUUACUCCCAGGUGCUUCAGUAUAGCUUCUUCGAUACCUCUUGAACCACGGAUCAUACAAGGUGU